UAAAGUCAACAUCUUUUAGUUCGGAAGAUAUAGAUUGUAGUACAUAAAUUUUUUAGCACAUGCAUGUCUUUGUUUCCAGUUAACUACUUGUUCAUCAUUUCCCUUGUUUUGUUGUAAUGUGUAGGUGUAGAAGUUAUUGCUUGGGAGACUAAAAGUACUUCAAAUCAGAACUGUUCAUGGGGUGCUUCAAUGGAGAAGAAUGAAAUUGCUUAUGAUUCAAAUCAUUCUAGUGGUUGGGGAAAAGUUGGAGGCAACUUGGAUCAUAAAAUUAGAACAGCUCCUUCUCGUGGCAAUGCAAAUAGGAUAACAAAAUUACAAUCAAAUCCUACUGUGACUGUGAAAACAGCUUGUUAGAAAAGGAAAUGAUGAAAAUGUUCGCAGAAUAGCAGCAGAGGCACUUUUCAUUCUUUCCAUAGAAGAUGGGCAAUGUGAAUGAAAAUUGGGAAGCAAAAAUAGGUCAAGAAAAUUAAAUGAUAAAGAUGGCUAGCUGAGUGAUUCCUCUUCAAACAGUGAAGUUGGCUAUCGAAGACUUUGUCUUGAUCAAGAGUUGAAGCAAUUUUUUCAAACUAUGUUUUGUAUUGUGACCAUUGUUACACUUGUUAUUAGACUUAGAAUCAUAUGAGUUUUUCAAUCACAUUAGAUUUGCAGUUAUUUGCUCUGUCAUGACAAGGAUUUGGAACCUGUUUUUCCCCAUUUUUUUUAUAGUCUAAGCUUAGGAAAAUCCUGAAGCAUUGAGUUCAAUGCACUAUGAAGAUGUUCAAGAUUUUACCUUCUUUCAAUAUAUACCAUGUCUUUUGAGUUUCAUGUUUA